GAUGCCAGUGCGCAUGCGCAACGGCGAAUACUGUGUGCCCAAGCGCUUUGCGCCGAGGCUGUAGACGCAUGCGUAGUUGCGCGCAUGAAGCUAACCUGGGUCUGGCGGGCUGGUGGAGUUGUUCCCCAAAUACCAAUGUACUCAGGGCUUCGGGGUGCUUCCUCGCUGCCCCUGCUAUUUUAGGACAAUGUGGAACCUUUGGGACUCCCUGAGUGUGAACCUUGAAGAGCCCAGGAGAGGUCGUGGGAUACCCCAGGGACUGAGUUAGACGGUUGUGAUUCGCAUGUGGAUGGUGGAAAGCUUAACUCUCCUCUGGAAGCUGAAACCUCUGCUCUCAACCACUGAGUCAUAAUGACCAGAAGACUGACUGGCUGGUGGUCCUGGAUUCUAUAAGAAAGACUAAGCAAGCCAGUAAGCAACACCCCUCCAUGGCCUCUGCAUCAGCUCCUGCCGUUUGAGUUCCUGCUUUGGUUUCCCUAAAUGGAUUGUGAUUCAGGAUAUGGAAAUCAAAUAAACCCCUUUCUCCCCAAGUUGCUUUGGUUAUGGUGUUUCAUCAUCAUAAUAGGAGCCCUCACUAGAACAGAUGCUAUGGGGCCU